rnacentral:lncRNA from 1 species
AAGGGAAAAUUAAAUAAAAGUUUUCUAAAUUAAAUCACCUUAAAGAGGAAAGUAUUUAUAUCCCUAACCACUUUCUUAAUUGUUAUUAUUCUAAAGAAUGAGCCAAGUUUGUUCAAGAGAGAAGGUUUGAGGCCUAUAAAGUGACCCAUGGGUUUUGAGAAUCAUAAGGCGAGAAGCAAAGCCAACGUUUGGCCUAACUCAAGAGGAGAUCAAGGUUUAAACUAACACGGGAUGGUAUGGGGAGGAUUGAAUCAACUAUUAAAAUCCACUCAACAUAUGCAAUAUUAAAACA